UCCGGUCCAGAAACAACAACAACAGCGGAGGUUCGGAAAAUUAGGGAGAGAAGCUCCAAAUCACCACGUCGCCGACGCGGUGACGCGAUCUCAUUCUAAUCCCUUCUCUCGCCUCGUCCACUUCGUCUUCGUCGCUCUCAACGGUAAUCGCACCGCUUCCCCGCUCUCAGAUCUGGCAAACCCUAGCCGUUCCUAGGGUUAGGGGUUUCUCGGGCGAUCUAAUAGGGUUUCUCCGGUGUUGUUUGGGGGGGUUGGUUGCAGUGGGAGGAGGUCGCCGAUGGAGGUGGAGCCUCCGGGGCCGGUGCGGUACUUGGUCGGAGCCGCGAUCAUGAUGAUCGGGGUGGUGAUCCCCCUCGGCUACAUGAUGUUUCGGAGCAAGCGCGCCCCCUCCUCAUCGUCCUCGUCCUUCUCCAAACAGACGUAGAAUAAGGGAUUGAUUUAGGAUGAUAGUGGCUAUUUCGAUUAGAUCGGGAGGUUGCAAAGCUGGUUGAGAGAGGAGGAGGAGGAGGAGGGAUACUUGGCAUUUCGCGAACUCGGGGUGAUGUAUUCUUUUGAUCUAGUUGCUAUAUAAUGUUCGAUUUGAAAUAAUUUACUGGUAUAGUUUUUCGUUAUUUUUUAGCAACUCUUGACUUUUAUGAUUGUUGUUAUAUUAUCUGAAUCUUUUUAUGGGUAUGUUUCGAAAAUUUUCAAAUGAUGAAAGUUUUAUUCUGUUUUAUCCAGUA